GCCACGGUAGCUCAGUUGGUAGAGCAUCAGACGCGCUAUUCGAAGGUCGCAGGUUCGGUCCCUGCCCGCGGCA
rnacentral:tRNA from 1 species